rnacentral:rRNA from 1 species
GUAGGGAAUAUUGCACAAUGGAGGAAACUCUGAUGCAGCGACGCCGCGUGAGUGAUGAAGGACUUCGGUUCGUAAAGCUCUGUCGUAUGGGAAUAAGAAAGUGAAGGUACCAUGCAAGAAAGGAUCGGCUAACUUCGUGCCAGCAGCCGCGGUAAGACGAGGGAUCCUAGCGUUGUUCGGAAUCAUUGGGCGUAAAGCGGGUGUAGGUGGCUCUGUAAGUCAAGUGUGAAAGCCCCGGGCUUAACCUGGGAAGUGCAUUUGAUACUGCGGAGCUUGAGUGCUGGAGAGGUCAUUAGAAUUCCUGGUGUAGUGGUGAAAUACGUAGAUAUCAGGAGGAAUACCAGAGGCGAAGGCGGAUGGCUGGCCAGACACUGACACUGAGACCCGAAAGCGUGGGGAUCAAACAGGAUUAGAUACCCUAGUAGUCC